rnacentral:rRNA from 1 species
UACGAAGGGGGCUAGCGUUGUUCGGAAUUACUGGGCGUAAAGCGCGCGCAGGCGGCUAUCCAAGUCAGUGGUGAAAGCCCGGAGCUCAACUCCGGAACUGCCAUUGAAACUGUUUAGCUUGAGUAUGAGAGAGGUGAGUGGAAUUCCCAGUGUAGAGGUGAAAUUCGUAGAUAUCGGGAGGAACACCAGUGGCGAAGGCGGCGAUCUGGGAAGAUACUGACGCUGAGGUGCGAAAGCGUGGGGAGCAAACAGG